AGUUAAAGAUGUUUCCAGUGAAAGGGGGACCAGCUAACUGCAGGCCUUCACAGACAAUGCGACCUACUACUGAUUUCUCCAUACUACCUCCAUAUUUGAAGAAUGUCUUCCUGGAACCGUAUCCAUGUGACUUGAUGGAAACUUGGAAAGCACCCUAAUCACAAAGCCAUAUAUUCACAGCCAAUUUCAAGGGUUAAAGUUGGAUACAGAAUAAGAAGCUUGGGGAGAUGAGGCUUGGGAGUUGAAAUCCAGUGUGGAAAACAAGAUGAAUUAACUUCCCAGGCUGCAUGAGUAUUCACAUUUCUGAUUGAGUUGCAGCAGGUUUGUUUCUUCUUUUGACCUCAGAAGCCGUUUGGAAUCUUUGGAGGAACUUCACGUCAUCUUUUAAGUUUUGCUUAUGGGUGUCAGGAGGGCUAGCACCAGAAUUUAAUAGAGGUGGCUCCAAGGGGACUACAGUAUCAAUAAUCUUGUCACAGACCCACUGCUGCAGUUUCUUGUACAGGCUAAGUCCCACUUCAUUCACACUCAUGCUUUUAGCAUCACAGCUAGCCAUAUUUUGAAUUGAUGGUCUGGAACCCUUUGCCUGAGUAAAGCAGAAAGUCUUUCACAUUUUUUCUGUUAGAAAAGCUUCAUAUCACCAUUAACAAAUGCUUUAUAUACUUGACCAGUAGCUGCUUCUCAGUAGGCCAGCUGGUGAGGCAUUUUCUUGGCAUUAUUUUUAUUUUGCAUUUUGAUUUUUGGAGAUGAACCAAAUGCCAUUUUUAAUUGCUGCUGGAGGCAUUUUGUUGAAGGAUUACUUUUUGGUUCCUUCAUCUUCGUCAUCUGUUUCAUCUUCUUCAUAUCAUUUCCUGAUGUUUCUGCAACUUUAGAAGCAUUUGCAUCUGAAUUUCUUGUCCUUUUCAUGAUUUCUUCAAUUCUAUUAUUCCAUUCUAAUCUUUCCAGCAGGCUCUCUCUCUUGAACCUCUCAUGUUCCGGGAGUUCCUCCUCUACAAUUCCUCUGGACCUCUCUUCCUGAGGGAAAACUAAUAAAAAAGGGUUAUGGGGACAAACUAAAUCCCCCGUCACUCAGUUGGUCUCAGGGUCGCAAUUGCUGGUCAUCUUUCACAUCCUUCACUACCCAUUUCAAAUUCUACUCUCCUCCAGCUGUCACUUCACGGGUCUUAGUGGCAUACCUGGGUGUGACCGAAAUCCUCAUUCCUUAUUCAAGUGUAUAUUUUUUGGUAAUUAUGCACAUCUCACACUGGAAUUGCUGUACAUUUCUUUCCACUGUUACAAUUAAGUAUCAAGAGGCUCUCAAGUGGAUCACCUAGGGUACACAUACAUUUUUCCCUGCCCACUGUAUAAAAGCAGCCCCUCCUCUUCCUGUUGAUCUAGGUCAGUUACCCCUGCCAAGAUGGGGACUCCUCUUCUAGCCUGCUGGUGCCUGGGCACAGAAAGAAUCCAAAGUGACUGAACAAUAGCCAUAGCUUACAGUUCAAUGGGACCCUUGUUGUGUUCCCUGGCAAAGUGUACCCCCUAUGGGGACCAGAACUUUUAAACUCUCAAAGCUCAGAGUUGUGGGAACAGGAAACACAAAGUCCCCCAGUGACUCAUUAGGAAGUAAUGUUAAGAGGGACCACUUCCCUUCUGCUUGUACCUUGACCCAUGUAUUCUUUCUAUUAGGGACAAUUCCUUUAGGGAUCUCUGGUUUAGUGUGUAUACUGCAUCCUGAAGGAUGGCACUCUGUCCUUGCAGAAUAUUGCCUCUGAACCAGCACUUAAGCUAUACCUUCAGUAGGUUACCCAGUGUUCUUUCAGGCUGGCUCUGGAUAGUGCCAUAUGUGAUACAACCAGUAGAUCCCUUGGUCAUGAGUUCACAACCACACCACCUUUAUUAUGAAGUGAGUCCCCUGUUUGGAUGCUAUGUCGAGUUGGAUCCCAUUCCUGUGAUCAGGCCUUCUUUAAGCCCCUAGAUAGUGGUAUGGGCUGAGGAUCUGCAGGCAAGAAAGGCAAACUCAUACCCAGAACAGGUAUUUGUCUCUGUGAGGAUGAACUGCUGGCCACUCCAGAAUGGAAAGGGCCCAGUGUUGUUGAUGUGCCACCAAGUGGCUGGUUUAUCUCCUCAAAUAAUAGUGCCAUAUCAGAGAUUUGAUGUUGAUCUCUGUUGCUAGAAAGUUAGACUUUCAGAGACAAGCGGCUAGAUUGGCCUUGGUAAGUAGGAAUUUAUGUUGUUUGGCUCAUGUGUAGCCUUCAUCUCUGUAAACAUAGCCAUUUCACUCAUGUUCCAUUGUGCCACUUUUGGAGUGGGCCAUGACAAAGCUUGGCUAGCAUCAACUGGUAGAAUCUUUUUGUCUGCUAGGUUGUUCAGUUCCUCUUCCAUAGUGGAUGCUUUCUGGUUGGAACGAACACGUGAUACAAAAACCUUCACCCUUCAUGCCUGCUCUCAUGUGUUCAUGCACAUGCCUCUACUCCAGACUCCUUGUCUCCAGUCUUCCAGUCUUUUCCUUCAGGAUCCUGACCAGCCAGCUAGGCCAUUGCCACUGCCAAGGAUCUAUAAACUCUCACAAGUCACUUCUCCUUUCACACAAGUGAAUGACCAGGCACACUGCUUGAAGCUUUGCCCAUUAGGAAGAUUUUCCCUCUCUGCUGUCUUCUAGGGCCAUCCCUGAUUGUGGCUGUACUUUACUACCUUCUGUUUCAGCUUCCACCCACAUACCAAGCCAACCCAUUCAUAAACAAGGCUUGAGCAUUUUUCCUCUUCCCUCAGCUAGCUAGACUUGACUUCCUCCAUAGACAGUGCAGCCUGAGGAAGGGGUGCUGGUGCAAAAGUGGUGUGUGAUAUAGGGGCUGGAUUACUAAUUCAUGCAGUUUAUUCAUGCCCUCUGGUCAUAUUGGGUUUGAUUUUGAAUGCGUCAUUUCCAUAUUACAAUGAACUGCUCCUGGGCCCAUCAGCACUUUAUGACUGAGUGUCUCCAAAAGAACUUAGCUCAUAAGGGACAGUUCUGGACACAUGGUAACUUGGUACCCCAUGGUCAAGCUUUCUGCCUCUACUAGGGCCUAAUACCACACCAGGUACUGUUUCUUGAAAGGAGUAAAAUCCUCUGCUGCAGAUGGCAUGGCCUUGCUCCAAAACCACAGAGGCCUGUGUUGUGAUUUCCCACUGAGAUUUGCUGUUAACUCCAUAUUGACUGCUGUAGAGUCCUUUGCUGCUUCAGGCUUCACUCAGAGAAGGCAGCCUUCCAUGUUGCCCAGGAUAUGAGCCAGAGCAGCAUUCCUAGGUGUGGAAUUUGGUUCUUCCAGAAUCCCAAAGAGGCCCACCAGCAUUGUACUUCAUUAUAGUGGAAGACACAAGAUAUAGAAAUUUGUCUUUUCUCUGGAGAGAAUAUCUUCAUAAACCACUGACUACUGGACCUCUGAAAACUUUACAAAAAUGUCAAGUCCUUGAAUCUUCUUAAGGUUUAUUUACCCUCCUCCGGAUGCAUGUGUCUUACAAGAGCCUCUAGCAUACAAGCCGCCUCUUGCCCAUCCUGCCCAGUCAGCAUAUUAUUGAUAUAACAUACCAAUAUGAUGUUGUGCAGGAUGUCCAGACAUUUCAGAUCUCUUCAGGCUGUAUUAUGAUAGAGGGUAA